rnacentral:rRNA from 1 species
GAUGAGCGCUGGCGGCGUGCCUAAUACACGCAAGUCGAGCGAACGGACGAGAAGCUUGCUUCUCUGAUGUUAGCGGCGGACGGGUGAGUAACACGUGGAUAACCUACCUAUAAGACUGGGAUAAUUUCGGGAAACCGGAGCUAAUACCGGAUAAUAUUUUGAACCGCAUGGUUCAAAAGUGAAAGACGGUCUUGCUGUCACUUAUAGAUGGAUCCGCGCUGCAUUAGCUAGUUGGUAAGGUAACGGCUUACCAAGGCAACGAUGCAUAGCCGACCUGAGAGGGUGAUCGGCCACACUGGAACUGAGACACGGUCCAGACUCCUACGGGAGGCAGCAGUAGGGAAUCUUCCGCAAUGGGCGAAAGCCUGACGGAGCAACGCCGCGUGAGUGAUGAAGGUCUUCGGAUCGUAAAACUCUGUUAUUAGGGAAGAACAUAUGUGUAAGUAACUGUGCACAUCUUGACGGUACCUAAUCAGAAAGCCACGGCUAACUACGUG